rnacentral:rRNA from 1 species
UACGGAGGGGGUUAGCGUUGUUCGGAAUUACUGGGCGUAAAGCGCACGUAGGCGGAUUAGAAAGUUAGAGGUGAAAUCCCAGGGCUCAACCCUGGAACUGCCUUUAAAACUCCUAGUCUUGAGUUCGAGAGAGGUGAGUGGAAUUCCAAGUGUAGAGGUGAAAUUCGUAGAUAUUUGGAGGAACACCAGUGGCGAAGGCGGCUCACUGGCUCGAUACUGACGCUGAGGUGCGAAAGUGUGGGGAGCAAAC